rnacentral:rRNA from 1 species
GACGAACGCUGGCGGCGUGCCUAAUACAUGCAAGUAGAACGCUGAAGAGAGGAGCUUGCUCUUCUUGGAUGAGUUGCGAACGGGUGAGUAACGCGUAGGUAACCUGCCUUGUAGCGGGGGAUAACUAUUGGAAACGAUAGCUAAUACCGCAUAACAAUGGAUGACACAUGUCAUUUAUUUGAAAGGGGCAAUUGCUCCACUACAAGAUGGACCUGCGUUGUAUUAGCUAGUAGGUGAGGUAAUGGCUCACCUAGGCGACGAUACAUAGCCGACCUGAGAGGGUGAUCGGCCACACUGGGACUGAGACACGGCCCAGACUCCUACGGGAGGCAGCAGUAGGGAAUCUUCGGCAAUGGGGGCAACCCUGACCGAGCAACGCCGCGUGAGUGAAGAAGGUUUUCGGAUCGUAAAGCUCUGUUGUAAGUCAAGAACGGGUGUGAGAGUGGAAAGUUCACACUGUGACGGUAGCUUACCAGAAAGGAACGGCUAACUACGUG